GUUAGGAAUAUUCGUCAAUGGGGGAAACCCUGAACGAGCAAUGCCGCGUGAGUGAUGACGGUCUUUAUGAUUGUAAAACUCUGUUGUAUGGGAAGAACACUAGAUAUAGGAAAUGAUAUCUAGCUGACGGUACCAUGCCAGAAAGCCCCGGCUAACUACGUGCCAGCAGCCGCGGUAAUACGUAGGGGGCGAGCGUUAUCCGGAUUUAUUGGGCGUAAAGCGUGUGUAGGCGGUUUAUUAAGUAUAAGAUUAAAGCCUGGGGCUUAACUCCAGUUCGUCUUAUAAACUGGUAGAAUUGAGUGUGGUAGAGGCAAAUGGAAUUUCUAGUGUAGCGGUAAAAUGCGUAGAUAUUAGAAGGAACACCGGUGGCGAAGGCGAUUUGCUGGGCCAUUACUGACGCUGAGACACGAAAGCGUGGGGAGCGAAUAGGAUUAGAAACCCUGGUAGUCC
rnacentral:rRNA from 1 species